CCCUUAGAUGUUCUGGGCCGCACGCGCGCUACACUGACGGAGGCAGCGAGCAUGUCCUUCGCCGAGAGGUGUGGGGAAUCUUGUGAGUCUCCGUCGUGCUGGGGAUAGAUGGUUGCAAUUGUCGAUCUUGAACGAGGAAUUCCUAGUAAGCGCGAGUCAUCAGCUCGCGCUGAUUACGUCCCUGCCCUUUGUAUACACCGCCCGUCGCUACUACCGAUUGGAUGGUUUAGCGAGAACUUUGGACCGGGGCUCGGGUGGUCAGCAAUGGCCGCCCGAGACAUACUGGGAAAUCGCUCCAGCUUGAUCAUCUAGAGGAAGUAAAAGUCGUAACA
rnacentral:rRNA from 1 species